rnacentral:ribozyme from 1 species
UGACUCCUGUCGUUUCGUUUUUCUUUUUUUUUUUUCUUUUUUUUUUCUCGUUCUUCUUCUCGG